rnacentral:tRNA from 1 species
GCCCGCCUAGCUCAAUCGGAUAGAGCGUCAGACUCUUAAGUCAUAGGUGGAUCUGAAGGCUGCGAGUUCGACCCUCGCGGUGGGCU